rnacentral:miRNA from 1 species
UGUUUGUUUCAUGAAUUUUUCAAACUUGGUUGUUAGAUAUAUAUAUAUAUAUAUAUAUAUAUAUAUAUAUAUAUAUAUAUCUAACAACCAAGUUUGAAAAAUUCAUGAAACAAACA